rnacentral:rRNA from 1 species
AACAAAUAUUAAAGGCAAUGCCUGCCCAGUGAACAAUUAAACGGCCGCGGUACCCUAACCGUGCAAAGGUAGCAUAAUCAUUUGUCUAUUAACUGUAGACCUGUAUGAAAGGCAAAAUGAGGGUUUAACUGUCUCUUAUGAUAAAUCUAUUAAACUGAUCUCCCAGUAAAAAAGCUGGAAUACUCCCAUAAGACCAGAAGACCCUGUGAAGCUUUAACUAAACUAUUAAACCAAAUAAUAACUACUUUAGGUUGGGGCGACCUUGGAAAAAAAAAGAACUUCCAACAUAACAAAUAUCACCAAGGCCUACAAGCCAAUUAACGACCCAGUAACACUGAUAAUCGAACUAAGUUACUCCAGGGAUAACAGCGCCAUCUUCUUCAAGAGCCCAUAUCAAAAAGAAGGUUUACGACCUCGAUGUUGGAUCAGGACACCCCAAUGGUGCAACCGCUAUUAAAGGUUCGUUUGUUCAACGAUUAAUGUCCU